rnacentral:tRNA from 1 species
GGCGCUAUAGUGUAGUGGUUAUCACUUGGGAUUCUGAUAUCGCUUUCCCAAAACCCAGGUUCGAGCCCUGGUAGCGCCU